CUAUUUAUUCUUACAUGCCACCGCCGACCUGUCUUGUUCUUCCCGUGCUGCAAGGACCCUCCUUGGCCUGGAUCGCCCUCUGCCCUCAAUGCGGGCCGCUUGCCGCGAUUCCGCUCGUGAACAAUGGGUCCUCCGACUCUCCGCCCGGGCUGGAAUCUUGGGCUCACAUCCCAGGGCAACUCCUAUGCGCCACCGGCCGGACUCUUUUGACAGGUGUCUCCCUCACACAGUGGCUCGGACCCGAGGAUCAUCCGACUCCUCGCCCGGUAGUGCACGCAUGAGCGGCACCCGUCGUUCCGGCCCGACGCUCGUAGUUGCCCCGUGAGUCCGCGUUGAGGCGUGAGCCUGGCCCCUGGGUUUUCCCUGGUCAUCCGCUGUCUGAGAUUACACUCCCCGACCCUGGAUUCGCCUCCCAGCUUUGGGUGACGCGUUUCCUGUUCAGAUUUCUCCAACCACAGUCUUCCUGUUCGACUUUUUUUUUUUA